rnacentral:rRNA from 1 species
AUUGAACGCUGGCGGCAUGCUUUACACAUGCAAGUCGAACAGUAACAGGCCGCAAGGUGCUGACGAGUGGCGAACGGGUGAGUAAUGCAUCGGAACGUGCCCAGUCGUGGGGGAUAACGCAGCGAAAGCUGUGCUAAUACCGCAUACGAUCUGUGGAUGAAAGCGGGGGACCGUAAGGCCUCGCGCGAUUGGAGCGGCCGAUGUCAGAUUAGGUAGUUGGUGGGGUAAAGGCUCACCAAGCCAACGAUCUGUAGCUGGUCUGAGAGGACGACCAGCAACACUGGGACUGAGACACGGCCCAGACUCCUACGGGAGGCAGCAGUGGGGAAUCUUGGACAAUGGGCGCAAGCCUGAUCCAGCAAUGCCGCGUGCAGGAAGAAGGCCUUCGGGUUGUAAACUGCUUUUGUACGGAACGAAACGGUCCUGGCUAAUACCCGGGGCUAAUGACGGUACCGUAAGAAUAAGCACCGGCUAACUACGUGCCAGCAGCCGCGGUAAAAC